CCAGGAAAGGCAGAAACCCCAACUAGGCAGAGGAGUCCUGCUCCUGUUGUCAUCUCUGGUAUUUCUACAUUGCAAGUUUUCUAUGAGAAAUCAAUUGUGCCUGCAACUGCUGUUCAUCAGUGCCUCCACCCUAACCUCUUCAUGCCCUUUUUCUACAAGUCUUCCUUGACACAGCCGGUAUGCAGCCAGGGACCCUUUGACAAGGACAAUGCUCAAGGAAACUUCACGGGAUUGAGUGAGCCCUUCCUCCCAGCUUUGGUUACUGAGUCACCACAGCUAUAAAAGCCCUGAGGUGAGCACUUGUCAACCCCGAAUGAGAAGAUGAAUCAAUUACUUCUGUUUCAGUGCUGUCAAGGAACACAAUAAAAAUUGACUAAAGGAGGUAUCUGAAGUAAAUAUUUCUGUUGCCAAAUCUACACAUACUUAAUAAGGUUUUUUGUUAGCAAAUUUUAAGAGCUUUGGUUAUUUACAGCAGUAUCAGAUUUCUCUCAUAUCACUAUUGGAAAUAGUGUAAUGAAAAAGAGUUAUUUUUCUGGGUCUCUUUUGCUAGGUUAGUAACUACCAUUGUACCAAGGGCUUGUGUUUGAUGCAACAAUAAGUGAAAAAUCACUAUUUUAUUACAUAAAACACAAAAAAAACCAAAAACAAAUGCUCUUUUGAAUUGUUAUAUCUAAGCUCAUAACUUGUGAGAAAAUCCUGGAAUUAACUAAUUGUAGGUGGUUUUGGUCAUUAAAAACCUACAGCUGAUGAUAA